UGCCGUUCCACUGAGUCACUGACCGACGACCUCCUCCGUGCGCCUCUCGCUAACUAACGCUUUCUCUCGCUCUCUCGAUUUCUCGAAGCUUCCCCAGUUCCCAGAACGCAACCAAGCCUUUCCCGACACGAGAGUCAGCCGCCAGGGUAUCGAGGUUCCUAGCUAGGGUUCCGGGCGGGGACUGGCGGCGGCGGAGAUGUCGACGCCGUCGAGGAAGCGGGCAAGCGGCUGAUGCGUGACUUUAGCGGCUGCAGCAGGAAGUCCUGCUGCAGGACCCGCCCGCGGCGAUCAGCGGCGCGCCCCACGACAACAACAUCAUGCUGUGGAACGCCGUCAAAUUCAGGCCGGAUGGCGCGCCGUGGGACGGAGGUGAGGGGCUCGUUGGUUUCAUGAUCUUGCUCUGAUCUGCUUGGUCUGUGGCUUCUAGGUCCUUGGGGAUAGUUUUACGGUGAAUUCGUAAAGUGGAACAUUAAAUAGCUCAUGGGAUGUUUAGGAAUUUUGUUUGUCCUGAGACUGGGAGUGAGGCUAAGUUGUUUUUAGCUCUUGUUUGUGUUCGAUUAAUCUGUUAUGUUUGUUUUUCGUGGAAAUGUACCGUAUGUUUGUUGGGGUUCCCAUCACAGUUUUGCCGCACUAGUAUGUCUGUCAGAAAUGUCUAUUUCAGGCUAAACCUAAAAACUCCCUACCUGUUUUGUUUUUCCUUAAAUCGGAAAUGACAAAAUUUGCAUGUUAUGCUUUAA